UUGUUUAGUAUCAGUUUCUUCUCUUUCAACUGAUAGUUAUAUAUUAGUAGCUUUAUGUGUGAUGUAUAAUUUUAGUUUGGUACUAUAACUUGAAAACAAAACAACAUCGUAAAGAAUUUACUGAAACUGGAAUGUAAUGGUUGUUGUGGUAAGUUUUGUUUUUCAUAUAUGAGUUUGGAGUUCUUACACUUUUAUGUUUCAAUAGACUUAUCUUUUUGUCAUAUAUCUGAUGAAGAUUAAGGAAAAGACUUUCUAUAAAGAUCAGUAGUUAAAUAAUAUGUAAAUCUCCAGAUAGCAUAUCCUUUUUGUUUUUGUUUUGAGUGCAAAAUAUUAUGGUAAGGCUUCCUGAACUUACCAUUGUUUUGUUAUGUGCCAGGAAUUAGUGUUGCUAGUUGCUAGAAAUACAGUCUAUAGAAAUCAAGGUCAUGCUAGGAUUUGGGCAAACUGAUACCUUCUUCUUCUUUUUGUAAAUCUUUUUGUCCGAACAACUUAGGGAUACAACCUCUCUAUCCUCACAAGGUAGGGGUAAGGUCUGCAUAAAUACUACUUUCCUAGACAACUGUGUGGAAUAAUACUAGGUAUAUUAUUGUUGUUGUUGUUUGAACAACUUGCUGUUAUAAUCAGUUUACUAAUAUAAACUGAUGCGGUUAGCGUGCUCUUGAAUCAUUUUGUUUGCAUAAUCCUUUUUCUUUUUGUGCUAAUUCUGAUAGUUCCUCCUGUAAAGGACUCUUUUUGUUGUUGAAGUAUUUUUCUAGUUUCUAAUGUUAUGUUGUCUAUUUCAUUUACUGCCUUCUAGUUGGGUAUGCAACUCUGCCAAUGUUUCACUUUUGAUUGUUGGUAGUUCAACAUUUAGACCAGCAUCUUGCAAUGGAAAGGAAAGCAGUAGAUCAUCUAUGGUAUAUUAUUUAUGCUUUUGUGGUUUAUACAUCAUUCCAUGUGAUAAUUUCUUUUCAUGGAUUCCAGGUAAUUGAAGAAAAGAACUUUAGCAUACUUCCAAUAAAUAACUCUUUUAUUGCCCACAUGACAUAUUGCUUGGUUCAGUUUAAAAACUCUACCCUAUUCCACAAGAGCAAUGCUUAUCCUGGACCUCACUAUUUAUAUUUUAGCAUUCAACUAAAUUUAUUUUAUGCCUUUUAUUUUUUAAUUAAUUGUAUGUAACCAAAUCUAGUAAUGAUUGGAUUUUUGAUGGUUUUGUUGGUGAAGCUAAUGAACAAGGGUAGAUGAAUACGAUGAAGACCUUGCUGAAGAGUAUUAGUUGAUCGCUCAUAGACUUUAAGAUGUUGUAGAAUCUUGUAUUUUAAAUUAUUUUGCAAUCUUAUGUAUUAACUCUUAAAUUGUAU
rnacentral:lncRNA from 1 species